UUGCCGUAUGGGAGGCGUGAAGGCACUGUCAGUCUGUAUAUGGAAGGGCGCGUGAGUGGAAAUUGGGCCGUUUGUGCUGUCUGGCUCCAUGAUCAUGGUCAUCGAACUUUCAGCACACAACCCUUCUCAUGUUCGCCUUGGUCAUUUCGGCCCCCGGCGUUCAAUUAUGGUUCUUGUGUUGCCUACCGGUUGAGUGGUAUUCAUGUGCCUCUUAUGACCCGUUCCAUCCAGGCCCCUUCUAAAGGUCGUUGGAGGAUUCAAAAGGAAUGCGUGUGAUGUGUUACCUGUGAAUUGUAAUGGCUUGCGUUCUCACACGUGUCUAGUGUUCCCUUGAAUGCGGUGCAUGCGGCAAAUGCGGGCUAAUAAGUCUGCCCCGUUAAGUCCCUUUAAUUUUUGGGUUCCCUUGAAUAACACUUUGCCGUGGUGUCGGUCUUGCUUAACCGUUCGGGGUGGCAACACUUGCACGUCAAGCAAAGGCGUUAAUG
rnacentral:misc_RNA from 1 species